UACGUAGGUGGCGAGCGUUGUCCGGAUUUACUGGGCGUAAAGAGCGCGCAGGCGGCCUGAUCAGUCGAAUGUGAAAGCCCCCGGCUUAACUGGGGAGGGUCAUUCGAUACUGUCAGGCUCGAAGGCAGGAGAGGGAAGCGGAAUUCCCGGUGUAGUGGUGAAAUGCGUAGAUAUCGGGAGGAACACCAGUGGCGAAGGCGGCUUUCUGGCCUGUUCUUGACGCUGAGGCGCGAAAGCCAGGGGAGCGAACGGG
rnacentral:rRNA from 1 species